ACAGCUGUGGUUCUAUCACCUUGCACCUGCCGAGCCAGGUUUCCAGCCAAUCAUCACUGCUUAUAAUCUCCCGCCACCGGCAGUAGGUCUGAUAAGGUGUUUGUUGAGUGGAAGGGGAAGGGACUGGCCACAAUUGAAGACAUAUAUAGAUAAGCAAUUAGCAUCAUUCAUCCAAUUAAAGAAUACAUUCAAACUCUCUCAAUCAUAUGUUAUGUUAUUUACAAGUCAGACACUAUAUCAAAAGGGAAAAUUCAAAAUGUUGAUACCCUCCCUGUACAACAUUCGUUUUGGUCCGCUACAGCGCCCUCCCGACUCAAAACACCUCAUCUCACAGUUUGUCUCCAGCUACACAGAGGCCUCUACUAGUCAUCUCAAGGAGAAAUGGGGUAAAGAGUUCAAUAUUGACAUCUCAGAUGAUCUAUGGGGAGAAGCCCUGUCUAGAAUCACUCCUGUUCCAUCAAUGAAAAUAUCAAUUAAUACAAUACAAAGUCAAAGCCAAAACCAAAUGACAUAUAAUUUAACACCAGGUCUCCUCACUGUGUGACAAAUGAGGAGGAUUCAUUAACUCAUCUUUUUUGGCUCUGCCCCCUAAUUAAUCAUUUUUGGAGGAACGAUUGGUAUUCAAAGGUAUAUGAGAAGGACAUUGAACCUGACCCCGAACUUGCUCUCUUUCGGUGCUCAGUCUAUUCUAAGAUAGUCCUAUGAGGAACAACAGGCUCUGAUGUUUGGAAUGGUGGCUGCAAAACAAAUGAUCCUCACAGAAUGGAAGUUAGCCAUCCCCCCCUUGCUUCCGUAGAUGGCAAGCAGAAAAGAUUAACAUCAUAAACAUUUUUUUUUUAAACAUUUUAAAUCAGGACUAACUCCUCCAGAAGAUUUUUCAAAAGUUGGGGUCCGUUUCCUGUCUUUCUGGACUGAUUGUGAACACUGAUUAGGAACACAUUUUUUGUUGUAACUGUUAUAGUGUUCUUCUAUUUUUGUCCCAUGUCUUGCUGAGGCAAUACUUCACUUCACAAGUCAGGUAGCUGUUUUUUUUGUUAUUUUUGUGUUUUUGUUUUGCACUCAUUUGUAAAAGAAAAUCAUUUGAAAAAAUAAUAAUAACAAUUUGAAUUAAAAUAAAAUAAAAUAUAUAUAGGGAACACACAUUAUGAACUAACUGUGUCUGAAUGUAAACAUAAUUAGGAUGAAUGUGUUCCCCUCUACCCUAGUGUUAAUUACUAUUACAUAUUAAAGAACUGGCAGUACA